AUGUCCAGAUCGGCCACUGGGAGGCGAUUCAAAACCCGCCGGGCCAAGUUUUCGUCCUGGGUCCUCAAAGACGCGGAGGGCCGCCUCCCACGUCCGCCUCCCGGGGAAGCGCUCCUCCAGCAGGCAGAGCAGGUCGGCGGGGCCCGCGGCUCUCAGGUCUGCCCAGGGGAUCCUGCGGGCGCCCUCCGGCAGCAGCUCCGGGCACUGCAGGGCGAGUUUGAAGUCCUCCAGCUGCCAGGGAUCCAAGCCCCUCAGGUGGGACAGCAGCUGGUCACGGGCACCAUCAUGCCCAGAAAUGCCGGCAGGGGAAGCCAUCGGCCCGGGAGCGAGGUCUCCAGCCGCAAUAGGAACAGCUCCUGCGGAAACAGACAGCGGAGGCCAGGCACCGCGACUGUCACCCGCUUCGCGCAGCCGGAUCCAGCCACGCGCUGCUUUCUCCGCGCAGCACGCCUGCCUUGUUUUUCUGUGCCUACUGACCUCUCUCUUCCACAAGGAGGGCUUCCCAGGGGGCUCAGCCGUAAAGAAUCCGCCUCCCAGUGCAGGAGACCCGGGUUCCAUCCCUGGGUCGGGAAGAGCCGUGGAGGAGGAAACGAUAACUCACUCCAGCAUUUUUGCGGGAAAUCUCAUGGACAGAGGAGCCUGACGGGCUCACAGAGUCAGAAACGACUGAGCAACUAACACUUUUAUUUUUUUCUUCCUUUUUAAGACUAAGAUCCUAUUGUAUUACUAUGUAUCUCCCACAGAGUAAAUGCAAGUCAUGCAGGAGGAAUUAGUUUGGGGAUGUGCCCUACAGCAAAGGGCCCCCAGUCAUCUAUACUCUUCUGUACCCUGAAAAUUGUAAGAGGAUCAGCCUCAUGUUAAACGUUCCCGCCACACACACAGACCCUGCAAAGAAACUUCUGCAGGUUCUGGCUACGUCUCCCCUUGUCUGUGUCCACAUUCAUGAAGAUGCUUGUUAAAUGUUUGCAGUGUUAAGGGUUGGAUUUUUUUUUUUUUUUUUCGUAUUCAAUUAUACCUCAAUAUAGCUGGGUUUUUUUUCCCCCUUACCUUUAAAUCCAUCACAACAAAGCUGUUUAAAAAAAGAAAAGAAAUAAAAAGUCAGAGUAAGGAGACCUCACUCACCAAGCUGUCUUCUCAGCUCUUGCAAGUUUCUAGAACGCAGACUCCGGACCCGAAGCAGUCUGCCCCACCCCUCCCCAGCCUGUGAUUGGCCCCGGGGCCCCUCCAGCUCCUAUCAGGUCUGUCUACGGGUGUCCCGCCCCCUCCGUCGCAGCCGCGUCUCCGGAGGGUGGAGAAGCCACCUGCCAUAGGUGAUCCUGGAGUCCUUCUCUUCCAGGUGUAAGUUGUCCCGGCUAAGAGAGGGAUGCAGAGUUGGAGGUUCUAAUUAAAACCCAGCUGAUGUAAAUGAAAUCUCCCACAUCAGCAGGAGGCCAGUGGUGUGAAUACCUGUCCUAGAGUGGGGCCAUAAAGAAGGCUGAGCGCCGAAGAAUUGAUGCUUUUGAGCUGUGGUGUUGGAGAAGACUCUUGAGAGUCCCUUGGACUGCAAGGAGAUCCAACCAGUCCAUUCUAAAGGAAAUCACUCCUGAAUAUUCAUUGGAAGGACUGAUGCUGAAGCUGAAACUCCAAUACUUUGGCCACCUGAUGAGAAGAACUGACUCAUUGGAAAAGAGCCUGAUGCUGGGAAAGACUGAAGGCAGGAGGAGAAGGGGACGACAGAGGAUAAGAUGGUUGGAUGGCAUCACUGACUGGAUGGACAUGAGUUUGAGUAAACUCCGGGAGUUGGUGAUGGACAGGGAGGCCUGGCGUGCUGCAGUCCAUGGGGUCGCAAAGUCGGACACAACUUAGCAGCUGAAAAACAACAACCAUCUUCAGGGCAGGGUGGGGUGUGCAGAGAUCUUAAUAGGAUGAUGAAAGAGGAGACAAAUAAAGAGUAUGUGAGACUCCGACAUAGGGAACAGACUGGUGGUUGCCAAGGGAGAGGCUGGGGAGGACUGGGGCUUUGGAUUAGCAGAGGCGAAAGAUUAUAGAGGGAUAAGGUCGUACUGCAGAGCUCAGGGGACUGUAUUCAACUUCCCAGGAUAACCCAUCAUGGAAAAGACUAUUUAAAAGGAUGUAUGUGUCUGCGUGUAACUGAAUCACUUUGCUGUACAAGAGAAAUGAACUCAGCAUUGUAUAUCAACUAUGCUUCAAUAAAAUAAAAAAAAAAAGAGUCCAUGAGGUCUGAAAAUCACAACCACAUCUGGAACCAUUUCUUCUCCCAAUGCAAGGAAAACCACCCGUGAACCCAUUCUAUCAGAUACACGGAGGCUUUUCCAUUGAAGUCAGGAUCAAGGCAGCUUAGUCUUUAUACCACCACUAUUUACUAUUGUAUUACCAAUUAAAUUAGUGAUUUUAAUGAACAAUUUUAACUCAUUUAACUCACCCCUGGAGGGAAGUAGGCUUCUUGACUCCUUCCUGUCAUAAACAUCUCCCAAAGCAGAAGGAAAAUGCACUUGGUCUGCCCCACCAUCCACCUUUCCCCCUCUUUUUAAAAAAAUCUUUUAAAGUAUGCAGGUAGGAUAGCACAUUUACAGUAGACUUGAGAAACAGACUAGGAGAAGGCAAUGGCACCCCACUCCAGUACUCUUGCCUGGAAAAUCCCAUGGAUGGAGGAGCCUGGUAGGCUGCAGUCCAUGGGGUCGCUAAGAACGAAGUUACAUAUAAUUCCAUUAUCUAUUGCAAUUAUUUUUUAAGUAGAUAAAUUAAGACUUUUAAUUGGAGUUUCAAUAUUAAACUCUCAGAAAUCAAUAGAAUGAAUAGACAGAAAGAAGUCUAUGUGUGUGUGAUGUUAAGUUGCUUCAGUCGUGUCCGACUCUGCAACGCUAUGGACUGUGGCCUGCAAGGCUCCUCUGUCCAUGGGAUUCUCCAGGCAAGAAUACUGGAGUGGGUUGCCAUUUCCUACUUGAGGGGAUCUUCCUGAUCCAGGGAUCAAAGCUGCAUCUCCUGCAACCCCUGCAUUGCAGACAGAUUCUUUACCACUGAGCCACUGGGAAAGCCCAUAGAAGGAUACUAUAGAUCUAAAAAGCACUAUGAACCAAUUCAACAAUUAAGAUUUAUACAGUUUUCACACAACAGCAGGGAAUAAAUUCUAUUUAAGUUCCCAUGGAGUAUACACUAGGAGACACUGGAACGUGUUGUUGUUCAGUCGCUCAGUCGUGUAUGACCCUUUGCAACCCUAUGAACCGCAGCACACCAGGCCUCCCUGUCCAUCACCAUCUCCCGGAGUUUACUCAAACUCAUAUCCAUUGAGUCCAUGAUGGCAUCCAACCAUUUAUCCUCUGUCGUCCCCUUCUCCUCCUGCCUUCAAUCUUUCCCAACAUCAGGGUCUUUUUCGAUGAGUCAGCUCUUUGUAUCAGGUGGCCAAAGUACUGGAGUUUAAGCUUUAGUCCUUCCAAUGAAUAUUUAGGGUUGAUUUCCUUUAGGACUGAACAUACCCAGGAAUGUAAACCAGGUGAAAAAAAAUGUCACGGUCUAAAGGUUUUGAAAGCAUACAAAGUCUGUUCUCUUGUCACUGUGGAAUUAUGUUAGAAAU
rnacentral:lncRNA from 1 species